ACGCUAGCGGCAGGCCUAACACAUGCAAGUCGAGGGGUAACAGGGAUUGCUUGCAAUCCGCUGACGACCGGCGCACGGGUGCGUAACGCGUAUACAAUCUGCCUUACACUGGGGGAUAGCCUUUAGAAAUGAAGAUUAAUACCCCAUAGAAUGUUAGUAUCGCAUGGUACAUACAUUAAAGGUUACGGUGUAAGAUGAGUAUGCGUCCUAUUAGUUUGUUGGUGAGGUAACGGCUCACCAAGACGACGAUAGGUAGGGGCCCUGAGAGGGGGAUCCCCCACACUGGUACUGAGACACGGACCAGACUCCUACGGGAGGCAGCAGUGAGGAAUAUUGGUCAAUGGGCGAGAGCCUGAACCAGCCAUGCCGCGUGCAGGAAGACGGCCCUAUGGGUUGUAAACUGCUUUUAUACAGGAAGAAACACUCCCUCGUGAGGGAGCUUGACGGUACUGUAAGAAUAAGGACCGGCUAACUCCG
rnacentral:rRNA from 1 species